CAGCCGCCACGGUAAUACAGAGGGUGCGAGCGUUAAUCGGAUUUACUGGGAGUAAAGCGUGCGUAGGCGGCUAAUUGAGUCGGAUGUGAAAUCCCCGAGCUUAACUUGGGAAUUGCAUUCGAUACUGGUUAGCUAGAGUGUGGGAGAGGAUGGUAGAAUUCCAGGUGUAGCGGUGAAAUGCGUAGAGAUCUGGAGGAAUACCGAUGGCGAAGGCAGCCAUCUGGCCUAACACUGACGCUGAGGUACGAAAGCAUGGGGAGCAAACAGGAUUAGAUACCCCGGUAGUCCCUGUCUCUUAUAC
rnacentral:rRNA from 1 species